UGCCAGCAGCCGCGGUAAUACGGAGGGUGCAAGCGUUAAUCGGAAUUACUGGGCGUAAAGCGCGCGUAGGCGGUUAUUUAAGUCAGAUGUGAAAGCCCCGGGCUUAACCUGGGAAUUGCAUUUGAUACUGGGUAACUAGAGUGUGGUAGAGGAGAGUGGAAUUUCAGGUGUAGCGGUGAAAUGCGUAGAUAUCUGAAGGAACACCAGUGGCGAAGGCGACUCUCUGGACCAACACUGACGCUGAGGUGCGAAAGCGUGGGUAGCAAACAGGAUUAGAUA
rnacentral:rRNA from 1 species